rnacentral:rRNA from 1 species
UACGAAGGGUGCAAACGUUGCUCGGAAUUACUGGGCGUAAAGGGCGCGUAGGCGGCACUGUUAGUCAGGCGUGAAAGUCCUGGGCUCAACCUGGGAACUGCGCUUGAUACGGCAGAGCUAGAGGAUGGAAGAGGCUCGCGGAAUUCCCAGUGUAGAGGUGAAAUUCGUAGAUAUUGGGAAGAACACCGGUGGCGAAGGCGGCGAGCUGGUCCAUUACUGACGCUGAGGCGCGACAGCGUGGGGAGCAAACAGG